AAAACUGGUAAAAUACUCAUUAAGGAAUAUGACUUUCAUGACCAAAUGAUUUGUAUAUACAAAAUCAUAACAUUUUAGAAUCAGAACCUCCUCUCUAACAUCAUUAGCUCAAUUUUGGGUACUUUUCUAUGCAAUGUGAAUUCUAGGCUUAGGGGAUGUAGGAUGGAUAUUGAUUUCCUAGAUUUCUCCUGUUGACCCAGUGUAUGCUUCUCUGCUGACUGUGGCUAGUCCUCCUAUAGGAGCCAUCAGUCACCAUAACCAGGUCCCAAAUCAUAUCAACAUCCAGGGAUAGGGACAGAUUUUGGGAAAUGGGCUAUGAAUUCUCACUAUUGACUUUAGAAGUAGAUAAAAGAUCUAAUAAAACUCUCUUCCUCCUCUAUCUGUGCCUAACUGGUAGGUGCCUUUAAUCUAUGAGCAGGGAAAUAGACUCUUUAUUAGCAUAAAUGCAAAUGACUUGAACUGCUGUGACUGGCAGCAGGGAUCAGGUAGUCUAAAUAAGCAUCCAAUAAUCUGUGAUGAGGAUAUGAAGACUUGAUUUAAUUCCUGGAGGAAAAAACUUCUUAUUCUUUGGUUAGUUUCCUUCUAUCACCAAACCCUGCCACCAAUAUGGGGGUGGGGAGGGGAACCAACCCACAUCCCCAGUGAGGUCUUCUCACUUUUAUUAAAUUGGAAUCCUCCAUAACACUCCCCGUACUCCCUUUCCUACUUUUCAUUUUUCUCUAUUGUACUUAGCAGCAUUAUGGCCCAUAUUUUACUUAUUUUGUAUACAGACUCCCCACCACACCCGAAAUGUAAGCUACAUGAGGGCAGGGAUUUUUGUCUCUUGUUCACUGCCUAGAACAGUUCCUAGCAAAUUAGAGACACUUACCUUUGAAACAAGUGGACAAAUGAAUUCAACUCCAUUUCUACUGAAAUCAAGGUCAUUUGACACAAGUUCCCCUAAAUUUCCCCUUCACCUCAGAAUGUCUGGAAUCUUAGCCAUCUUUGCCAGCUCCCUCACCAAGACCAACCCUUCAGCUCUGUUCCUGAUUAUUCUUUUGCUCUUCUUUGAAUAUUGCUGCUUCAAUUACGUCUCAUUCAUCUUUUUUAACAUUUCUCUCCUGAUUGAUUUCUUUCAGCCAAAUCUAGAGAUCUACUUAAAUCUGAACUUUCCUUGACAUCUCUAUAGCAUCUGUCAACUAUGUCCAUAUUUUCCUUGAAAUUCUAUGGCUUCUGAGAUAUUUCUUGGCUUUCUAAGUUGCUUACUCUGUCUCCACUGCUUCCUCUUCCUCCUACACACUAAACAGACCUGAAAUCUCUGCUCCUUUCCCAUAUGUUCAGUUGUCACCUCUGUGUGUGAUGCUUAAAAUGCUUAAAAUGAUUACAUUUCCAGCUCUAACUCCUCAAUCGAGAUCCACACCUGCAUAUCCAUGAUUCUUUACUUGAGCCCAAAAUCUUAGAGUGGAACUCAUGUCCUCUUACUUCCUUUUAUCAAUGGGUUCCACCUCAGAUUUUACAGCAUCCCCCCCCCCACUCCCCUGCCAAUGUCUUUCCAUCCAUGUCUCUCUUCCACUUUUGGCACAUGAUAGUUUCUGUCCUUAUACUUGGCUUACUGAAGUGGACUUCCAAUGGCCCUUUGCAAAUAGAAAUUUGCAACCAGUUGCUCUUCUUCUACAUAGCCAGCAUAGUAACACUGGAUUCAUUUUUAUAAAAAUAUGCUGACUAUACAACCACUGGAUCGGAAAUCUUCAGUGAUUCACUCUUGCUUAUAUGAUAAAGUUUGAGCAGGGAGUCAGACUCUUCCACAACUUGAUUCCAACCAACAUCCCACUAUGUGUCCUAAUACUCCCUAAGUUCUCAACAAAUUGAGCUCCCUACCUUUCCUGACACCUGGUGCUCUCUUACUGCUGUGGAUUUGUUCAUUUUAAGUCUCCUUUCAUAAAAAGUUUUUGUAUUUUUAUAAGACCCAGCUCAAAUACCAAAUAGAUGCAUAACUACAACACAACGUACUGUAUGCUUCAUGUCACUGGAGUAUAAAAUAAUAUAGGAAUCAAAUGGGAACACUUUAUUUCUGAUUCUAGAUUAUGUAAGUCUUUUAAGAAGGAGUCCAAUUCAUUUUUGUAUACGAAGAAAUAUUCCAUAAGUACCUUGCAUAUAAUAGUUUACUUGAUCUCUGUGUGGUAUCCACAUGAAGGAGACACCAAUAUGAAGGUGUGUAUAUGUAAUUCUGUGAAUAUCCAUUUAGCCUUUAUAAUAAAGUAUCUCCUACUCGCUAACAAGAUUACAAGUUUUUUUUCAUGACAAAGACUUGCUUUUCAAAACCACUCUGCUUGUCUGAUACCACAGACAGCCACUGACAGUGGCAUUUGUUCAACUCACAGUUACUACUGUGCAUGUACUAUGUAACUGGCACUUUGUUGGAUGCUUACUUACAAGAUGAGUGAAGACACAGUCUUCAUCCUAAGAAAUUUAACUCUGUGGUCUUAAAGAAUUAAUGAAGCUAUGGAGUAUGGGUAUGAGGGGGUUAGGGAAUAGCAUUUUGACUUCUGUUUUCCCAUUGUUCAUAUGUAAUUUUUGCUCUAUUUAUAACUACUUAAAUUGAGCUUUAAAGGAUAUUUGCUUCCACAGGUAAGAACAGAAUAUCAUGCUCAGUCAUUAUCUCAAUAUUGUGCGAGAUGUGUGUUAAUCCCUUGGUCCCAUCCUCUCCAACGGCCAUGGCAAAUAACUCCACCUUGAGUUCAGUCUGCAAACCAGCCGCCACCUAUAGGACACAAGUGUGCCUAAUGGAGGACCUGUGAUGUGACAAAGCCAGCAGAAGGAGACAGAAUGAGUUUAAAUGCCAAACUGCUUAGGUCUGAAAGCUACGUGGAAGAGGUCUGGACCAACAAAGAAGAAACCUGAUAUAUAAUGAAGAAGAAACACAGCAAGGAAUGGGCUUCUUGCCUUGUUCCUUGAAGAGAACACUGGCCAGGAAAGAAAGAGCUGUUUGUGUUCCUAAGCUGCCUCUCCAGGAGGUAGGCUAAAAAGCAGACUUGAGAACGAACAACUGUCUGGAAAAAAUACAUCAGAAACCACCACAUGGAAAGCAAUUAGAUACAAGUACUUUUUUCUUCAUAGUUUAUAAAUAAUAGAACUGAAAAAUGUUUCAACUUCUUCAACAAUGUACUUAUGAAGGUCUGCUUACUGGAAGGUAUCCAACUCUCCAUGUCUGAGGACCAGGCCCUUUGCCCUUCAGCCCAACAAUGAGGGCAAGGCUGGGAUGACGCCACUCUGCACAAGGCAGCUGGCACCCUGCCCCCGCUCAGAUCUACUCUGACCCUGGGUGUAUUCAUUCAGCAUUGGCAACUAAGCAGGCUGAACAGUGGUUAGAUUUACAUAUGGAGAAGUCUAUAGAUUAUAUUUUUGCAGAGCCAAAACUGUCAAAAAGAAAAUAAUAAUAACAAUAAUAAUAA